GGAUGCGAUCAUACCAACACUAAAGCACCGGAUCCCAUCUUAAGCGUGCUUGGGCGAGAGUAUUACUAAGAUGGGUGAUCUCCUGGGAAGUCCUCGUGUUGCAUCCC
rnacentral:rRNA from 1 species